GACGAACGCUGGCGGCGUGCCUAACACAUGCAAGUCGAGCGAGUGAAUCUCCUUCGGGAGUGAAGCUAGCGGCGGACGGGUGAGUAACACGUGGGCAACCUGCCUCAUAGAGGGGAAUAGCCUUUCGAAAGGAAGAUUAAUACCGCAUAAGAUUGUAGCUUCGCAUGAAGUAGCAAUUAAAGGAGCAAUCCGCUAUGAGAUGGGCCCGCGGCGCAUUAGCUAGUUGGUGAGGUAACGGCUCACCAAGGCGACGAUGCGUAGCCGACCUGAGAGGGUGAUCGGCGACAUGGGGACUGAGACACGGCCCAGACUCCUACGGGAGGCAGCAGUGGGGAAUAUUGCACAAUGGGGGAAACCCUGAUGCAGCAACGCCGCGUGAGUGAUGACGGCCUUCGGGUUGUAAAGCUCUGUCUUCAGGGACGAUAAUGACGGUACCUGAGGAGGAAGCCACGGCUAACUACGUGCCAGCCGCCGCCGUAAGAC
rnacentral:rRNA from 1 species